GGCAUUAAUGGGGUAGUGGUAACCUGGGUCGUUGCCAUCCCAAGAACAGACUGGUAACGUUGUCGACCCGCCGGGGGUUCGAUUCCCCCUUAUGUCG